rnacentral:rRNA from 1 species
AACGAACGCUGGCGGCGUGGAUAAGACAUGCAAGUCGAACGAGAGAAUUGCUAGCUUGCUAAUAAUUCUCUAGUGGCGCACGGGUGAGUAACACGUGAGUAACCUGCCCCCGAGAGCGGGAUAGCCCUGGGAAACUGGGAUUAAUACCGCAUAGUAUCGAAAGAUUAAAGCAGCAAUGCGCUUGGGGAUGGGCUCGCGGCCUAUUAGUUAGUUGGUGAGGUAACGGCUCACCAAGGCGAUGACGGGUAGCCGGUCUGAGAGGAUGUCCGGCCACACUGGAACUGAGACACGGUCCAGACACCUACGGGUGGCAGCAGUCGAGAAUCAUUCACAAUGGGGGAAACCCUGAUGGUGCGACGCCGCGUGGGGGAAUGAAGGUCUUCGGAUUGUAAACCCCUGUCAUGUGGGAGCAAAUAA